AACAAUUAAUGUGAAGAAGUGUGCAAAGCAAGGGAAAGGUUGUAGCUCUUAUGUCUCAUUUUGAUUAGCAUAAGCGUAUGGCUUUUCCCCUGCAGUGUCACUUGAUGAACUGCUGUGGCAUC
rnacentral:precursor_RNA from 11 species